AUGACCGAUACAGAAGACCCCUUGCUGACUGGUCCUCCCACCCAACCCCUGCAGCAUUCUUGUGUCAAUUUCAUCUUUUUGCUGGGACCUUACCCUUUUACAGUUGAGGAGCUUCAAUGUGUACAUAAAAAAUGGAAGUUGGACGGGGAGAUUGGACCUGAACUUAGGAACACCUUUUACAUCUUGUGGAACUCACUUUGGAUAUGUGGAGUGAUAUGACUGUGAAGCAAGAAAGGGGCCUUGGACUAUGGACAUAUUCAAAAGAUCCAUCGUAAAUGCUGACUUUUGGAGUUUUAGAAGCUAAUUUUUGUUUGGCCUUGCCUGUGUAAGAAUAUACAGGGAAAUUCAUCACAGGGCUUCCUGGCAAGGUCCAUCCUAGGUCAUUCAGAGGCUGCGUUCCUCAGCCACAGCUUUUUUGUUUCCUGGAAAUCCUCAGAUCCUCCUCUGUGAUACCAAAAUAUCUGCUUCUUGCAACACACCUCGCCAUUGCCAACACAAUCUGUUGUAAUGAACUGACUUUUUUUUUCUUUCCUUGUGUUCUUCAGGAUUCUUAAUCUCACUUGCCUUUUCCUGAAUCAAAGCAUUUGAGUUUGGCUUCAAGUUAAUUUUCCAUCUGUUUAAUCUCCAUGAUUUCUGAGUGUAUUCAGUGAUGAGUGCACUGGACUGUUCUAUUUCUUUUCUUUUCUUUUUUUUUUUUUUGUCUUUUUGCCUUUUCUAGGGCCAUUCCCGUGACAUAUGGAGGAUCCCAGGCUAAGAGUCUAACCGGAGCUGUAGCCGCCAGCCUACGCCACAGCCAUAGUAACGCUGGGAUCCGAGCCACAUCUGUGACCUACACUACAGCUCACGGCAACACCAGUUCCUUAACCCCUUGAGCGAUGCUAGGGACCGAACUCGCAACCUCAUGGUUCCUAGUUGGAUUCGUUAACCACUGAGCCACGACGGGAACUCCCUAUUUCAUUCUUGAUCACAGUUUAGAAGGACAGAUCAUUUAACUAUUCUGGGCUUCAGUUUCCUCAUGAUUUAAAUGAGAAUUUUAGUUGUGUGCUCCGUCAGGUCUUUUCCAGAGCUAACGGGGAGUCUGUAUGCCUGUAAAAGCAAGUAUAGAAGACUGGAAAGAACAUGGGCUCUGCAUCAAAGAAAGCUGAGUGCAAAUCUUAGAGUUUUGUGAUUUUGGCUUUGUCACUGUUGUUUUCUGAGGUGUAUUUUCUUUUUCAUUCAU
rnacentral:lncRNA from 1 species